rnacentral:lncRNA from 1 species
CCCGCGCCCUGCACCCUUCCGAGGAAGGUGGAGCUUUCGUCGGGGCCGACCCUCAGCACGGUGUCGUAGAUCUCGAUGUUCCCGAAGGUGUAGGGGAGGCUCAUGUUCACCACGGUGACGGUGGUGUUGUCGGGACCGAUAAAGGUCUCGUGGAAGUAGACGCGGAAGUGGAUUCUCUUCUGGAUGCCGAGUUCGAACUCGGAGGUGACCGGGAAGGCCGUGGCAGCAGCCUGGAGGAGGAAGAAGACGAGGAGGAAGUAGAGAUGAGUGGAGCUGUGUGGGGAUGAAGCCAUGGCUAGGAUGACACAAGGAUCGAAGUGAGGUGGGUACAACGCUGGAUCAGGAACAUGUGUUUAUAGAGUAAUGUCUGCGCCAUGCGUCGUUGACAAAUACCAACUUUCAUAAACAUGUAAACACCAUGCCACACGGAGAUGGAAGAUGGAAGAUGGAAGUAAUAUAGAUAAUCUUGAGCAAUGAAGAUGGAUAACUGAGAGAUCGAUGAUAGUUGCAAGCAGUGGCCAAUGAGGAUAGUGUUGCGUCUUCUGCUAGUGUCAACUGGCCACAUGUAACUCAUGAAUUUGUCUUUUUCUUAACCAACCACAUCGUUCGAUGAUAGUUGCAAACGUUGACAUAAUGCAUGUCAACGUUUCCAUGUGAAUAACACCCACAUAAUCCUUCACCUAUCAAAGGUGUGAUCGGUUGACAAAGUUCAUCAUUAUUAUGUAAGGUACAUUUAUAUUAGAGGAUCGUCAAAUGCCAGUGCAUGUCAUGGUACUUUUCAAUGUGCAUAAUUGACACAAACUGUGUGGAAUCUCUCCCUCUUACUUGCCCCUUCACACAAUGCAUUUCUUUAUCAACAUAUGUUUGCUUCACCUGAGUCAACUGUUCAUGUGAUCCACACUAAAGCCUCCGUCGGUUCAGCAAAAUCGGCUAAUUGUCGUUACUUAAUGUUGAAAAUUGAUAACAAGUCUUUGUAAGACUAUCAAUUAAGAAUUUUGCACAUUUAGUCUCAAGUUGAUUAGAGAUUUAAAGAGUCAAUAGCUAAUGAAGAAUCAAAUAUCUUGAAAGGCAAAGAACCGGUCCUACUUAACAAUUUAUUAACAUUAAAAGAGCUCAAGAUUAAUGUUUUUUUUUAUUGAGGUAAAUAAUUUGUGAAAAAUAAGAGUAUUAUUUUAGACAAAAUAAGUAGUAAAAAAGAGGAUCAAAUUGAUUAACGAAACGUGGCAUGUCCACGAAUCUUAAAGCAUCAGAUUGCAUCAGUAACUAGCGACCACCAAAGCAGUCUCCACGGUGAGAAGGGGGAAAUGACGAUGUGAAGAAUCGCAGAGGCGGCUCUCCUCUUUGUCCUCCUCGGUGGCAACGAGCGCGAUUUGGUGAUCAAGGUCCGAUCACUUACGAUCCCUUCUCGUCCAAUUUUCCCAAUCUUGGUUAGAGUUUUAAUUUGAUGGAGUGCUUGACGCCGUCUUGUAGUUUUGAUGUCAAUUUCUUGGUGCGAUCUACUGUUCGAUCAGAAUCUUUGAUGGGUCCUAGCCGAUGAUCAUGCAACCUAGUUGCUCUAUGAUCAACGAAAACGAAACCUAAUAUUAUAGUUUCUUUUUCCUCUCAGUUUAGAUUCACUUCUUCCCCUUGAUCACGCAAGUAGUCGAAGCUUAACUGCAGGAAUUGUUCGAGUUUUUUUCACGUAUUUGAGCUUUUUGUGUCGUAACCUACUACGUUUUCUUGAUUUUAGACUGAACUAGGCUUUGCACUUGGUUGCUAUAUAUGCAUUCAAGAUAAUACUCUUGCCAUCAAAUCAUUGAAUUAUGUGGGGAUUAUUCAUCGAACAGAUUCCCUUUAAGUCGCAUAGUCUUUUGUUCCUUUCCCUGGUUCUGUUGCUUGUUGCAUAUCUUAAGUACAUUACUGUUUCCUAUGUCUGCAUCUCAUGUAUUUCACGUUAUCCAAGCAAGAAAUUUGUCAGAUGUGCAUGAUGUUCAACCAAUUGAUCUAAUAAACGCCAACUUUAUCUACACAUCAAUUGAAAGAAAAGAACAUCUUAUCAUUAUUCCAGUUUCACAGCUAGAAAGUAGUGAUGCAUCUGAAACUGUAGCUGUAUGUGAAAAUUUCGGCAAGUCAGGUAAAAGAAGUAAGUAUUAAGAAGGAAAUGUAUUGGUACCCCUUCCAAUAAGGAGAUAAUAGUUAAACAAGUUGCUAUCGAUUAAACUUAUGGGUCAUAUAAUUUAGACCUUUUUAGGUCUCGUCUACAUUGUUAGUUGUUAUCAAGGAAGUAACUAGCAAUUUAUUGUGAUUCAUGAAUUCCUUUGCAUAGGAUGGAUUUAAUAAUGUUGCAUGAGUAAGGCUUUCUGCAUUAUGGCAUGGCUCAUGUUGAUAAUAUGCGGGCACAUAAAAACUACUGUAAGGGUCUACUUACAGAACCUUAUAGGAAGAUGUUUUGGAUAAUGGCUACAUGCAAUUAGUGGUGUUAAGGAAGGGACCUAUUUUUGGGUUGAUUACAUUGUAACAUUGCAGUGCCUUUAAAUUAGUAAGCUGCAAUAUAGAGAUUAAUAAGGGAACGUUGUGUACUCUUCUGAACCAAAUGAUGUUGUAUUUCUUCUUAUUUGGAGGUUUCAAGUUUCUUGAUUGAGUUUCAUUUUGUUGUAGUCUUUAUCUAAAUUUGACUCUUAAAAACCUCGAGUAAUUUAGUGAAUGUUGUUGGAUAAUGCUUCAAUCAUAGUUGGUGUGUUGCCAUCUAUAAUUAACUCCAGAUGACUAGAAGACGGGAGGAACUAAAAGACAAUCAAGUAAAAUGUUGGUAAACAAAACUUAAUAGGUACAAAGGCAUUUUAGUUUUUAGGUUGUUCAUUUAGUUGAUGUCACAUGGAAUAUCAUGUCCACAUCCACAAACUAUGUUUGUUUGUAGAGAGUACCUGUGCCAUUUAUUAGAUUCUACCCAACUAUCAUGUGACAAUAACAAUAUAAAAGGUUGAUUUUUUUAAUAUAUAGCGUCCUCAGAUUUGUCCAAUGAUGCAACUCAAAUUAGAUGAUUUUUGGCGACUUGAAACUUCAAAUACGUCUGCUUGAGUACCAUGGGUGCCAGCAGCAUUAUCUAGGCCAGUUUCACAUCAAUUUUAAGAGUAGCUGGAUGAUGAUAAAUUAAACCAUAUCAUCAAGACUCCUGCUUCUGUGUAUUGUAGUUUUAUUGAUCCUGAUCUUCCAUUAGAAUUUUAAGACUCAUGCAUGCGAAUACAUCAGAACGUCCUUUAAUUGAUGAAUUCUUUACCUCUGUCUUGACGAGCAGUUUCACCAGGAAUCAAACUAAUGGUGCAUGGCCUGAAGAAUGUAUGGGGAUCAAUGCGUGCAGUAGUUUCCACAGCAUGUGAGUUUAUGGUACUAACAUCAAAAGGAGCCGCUGAUGAGAAUAUUGUAGAGCAAAGACUGCUCAAGGAGCUGUGCAAACAUGGCUUUUAAUAAAAUUGACUUGGAUAGGGAGUUUUCUUGGGCUAAAAGAUUAUGACCUGUAGCAGUCCAUGGAUGAGCUUUUUGGUUGUGUAUGAUGAAUAGAUUUUUGCCUUGAGAGCAGAGCUUCAGGUUCUCGUUAGCCUGUAACUCCUUGCUUCUUUUAUCACAUGCUUUAGUGAUCCUCGAUGCCUGCAAGAUUACUGAAACUAAUAUUUGAGAUUGGUAGCCCAAUUUUUUCUCUCUCCAGUGGGUAGUUCAUUUGGUACCCUAUGGACUCGGUAUCUUUCCUUGCUUAUCCCGUAGCAGCAGCGGAAAUUUUGGUAGGAGAAGCUUUAGAUUGACUUUGUUUUCUCCAGUUUGUGGUACAAAUAUCAUUAUCUGAUGUGGUGUCUCUUGAGAUUGAUGUGGCAGGUUCUAAAUCUUACCAGGUAUUAAAGGAUUGUGGAUGUUACUUUUUCUUCUUUUUGAUUCCGUUGAAAUCUUUUGGUAGGUUGUAACUCACAGACGGAGAUUGAGCCGCAGCAAAUUGACUUGAAGAGCAUCAUCAUGGCAGCAACUGGGCUUGGACUUGUUUGAGGGAAGGUCACUUGGACUGGUAUGCUACUUAGCCCAAUCCAAUUGUUUGGUUACCGCAAAGCUCACUGGUUCAACAGAGAUGCAUACUAUUUCACGAGGGAUUACCUUGUUUAACUUUUGCUCCUAAGCCAUACAACACCAACGCUAACAGCUGAAGAAGAAUAUUUGGGAGUCUCAAUUAGAUCUUACAGAUCGUGUUCUCCCCUUCUGCUGCUUAGGAGGAUGGCGACGAAGCUGAGGCCAGCGCAGCCGCCGGUGACGAGGUUGCCCUCGCGGACGAGGAUCUUGAGGGCGACGGCGCUGAUGUCGGCGGUGAUCCGCCGCCCCUCCAUCACCAGCGCCCGCCACGGCUUCCCGGCGAAGGCGAGCAGCACCAGGACGGUGCAGCACGUGACCAGCGUCGCUGGCACCGCCACCGGUAGCGCUGCCCCCACGGACAACAUCCCGAACAACUCUCCGUACUGAUUGUGUAAAUGUAAAGACAAAGUUUGAUUGAAGCUUAUUAACAUGUUCCCUGGGGGGAGGAUUUUCAGAGCAGUGAGAUUUCCUCGUGCAAUCGGAGAAAUCUUAUUUGCUAUCACAUACAGCACCGACGUAUACAACCUCGACGACCAUGAUGAUGAGGAGGACGAGGAGGAGGCGACGAUGUUGUACCAGGAAUGGAUGGCAAGGAGGAGGCCCCAGGAGCAAUGAAGGAGGAGGGUGUAGAAGAGGAGAAAGAGGUAGACCCAUGUCCGCCUCUUGUUCGUAACUCUGGUAUGUCCGCGGUCGCCCUUGGAUGCUUGUUUCUCAUGGCCAGUGCUGCAGUUGCUGUUGCAGAAGAAGUGGAUGUGUAGCAGAAGCAAAAGUAAGUCCAACUCUGCUUGUGUCUCUGAGUUUCCCACCUUAGUCAAGCCAGCUGAAUAGCCUACUCACUUUUUUUAAUUUUUAUUAUUGUUUUAUCAUUUUUUAGAUGAAUGAUAAUAUUUAUAUAUGAAAAGAUAUUUUAUCUCAUUAUUUUACUUAAUAUUUUAAUAUUUAUAUCGAUAUUGGACUAACGGGAGAUGCCUUGCUCGGAUAGAAUAUAUCUAAGGGGGGAUAUAUAUAACUGAUAAGGGUAAUAAUUGUAAUAAGACUCACGUGACAUCAGCUGCAUCAGGUGACGCAUCACGCCUCUGUUGACUUGAUGAGGCACCUGGUCAACGUGGAUCGGAACGCCUACCAAGGCGCAUUAACGCUCUGUUCAGGUUCGAUCCCUCACGCCACGCCAACGGCAACGUUAGACGCUACCAGAAGUACGGUCCCGCUCCCUGCGGGCCAGCACAUUAGACAACGGUAAUUAUCACUAUAAAAACCCUCGCACUCUGAAGGGAAAAAAAGGGGGGGAGGGAAGGGAGAAAUCCCCUAGGACCAUCCACUAACUUGAUCGUCAGAGGGAUCGGGUCGAGCUCCCCGACCCGACCUUUGUGUAGGUGCGAAGGCGGAGGUCGUCCACCAAAGGCGCAGGCGGGGGUUCCCUCCCGGUGAAAACAGCGACCUCGUCCCAAUCGGAACACCGUGAUCGGCCACCUUAGCAGUCGGGAGGAGCGUCCCAGGAAGAUCCCCGUCAUCCGGACCCGAACCAAACCGCGUCGGUCCCGAUGCCACGGCUUAAAGUUGUUCACACUAACACUAACAUUUCGAUGUUUGUAUUAUGUUGGGACAUUUUUUUUUCGGUGAGAUAGUGAGUUGAGUAUUUUUUAUCCGAUCAAAAAGUUAUUUGAUAUAUUUAUAUUAUUGGGAUCAAUAUAGUAUAGAUGGGUCUAAUUUCUCUUACAAAAAAGAAUACCAUGAUUUAAACAUUGGGACUGAAAAAAAAUCUUAUAAGAUGCAAAGUUCAAGCACUAUCUUGGGUGGUCAGGUUGGGAACUCAUUGGAAGCUCUAUUACCACCGAUUAUGUAAGGUUAAAUUAUUUAAUUAGAAAAUAUUUAUUUUGCAUGUCAUAUUGAUGCGAAACAUCAUUAUUUUCAAACUAAUUAUCUCCUAUUUAUAUCGAAUCCAGAUUAAUUAUCCAUUGAAUUGUACCUAAUUUAUAAGGAUUCGCUGAAGGUAAAAUAAGCUUGAGAUAAUAUAUGAGUUCCACCCUUAAAAGAGAUGAUGAUUGAGCAAUUAGUUUAUCCCUCUAACUAUGGAGUAGGUUGGGAAGUCGAUGAAGCUCGAAAGAGAGGAUCCUGAGCAAGCAAUCAACCAACCUCAGUGGUUCUUCACUGAAAGGAGGAAGCAACGUAAGCAACAUCUAUGGAUGAGAGCAUUUUUCAUAUUUUUAAUGGUGGAGAAUCCCCGUUGAUUUGAGUUGAAAGUGUCAACUAGAAAUAAUCAAUAGAUCAUGGUCGCUAAUAUCAAGUUAUCUCCGAUAACAUCAAAAUCUCACUUCAAUAAUAUCUUCCAUUGUAAGAAUCCAACCCACAACAAUUAAAUACAAGAAAUGUGAUAGGGAAAGAGAUCAACUUCAAAAUCUCUAUGAGAAUGAUCGUUAGAUUUAAUAUUAUACUGGAUAGUAAUUGUAAUACCCCAAUUAGAAGUGAUAUGGUGAUAAUUGUCCAUCAGGACUUCUUUUAUAUUCUCAUAAAACUUUUCAUUAACUCAAGCAAAGUUCUUCAUGAUGUAUCACAUGUUAUGAAUAGUAUAUAUAAAUAGGGGAUCGAUACAUGAACCACCAUAUAUUGGGAGGUACAUAUUACAUGACCCUAUAUUAGACAAUACAGGAUCUAUACCAAUUGGUAUUGAUUGAAAUCCAAUCAUUAUAAAUUUGUGCUGACAAUUAUAUUGGGAGGUUACAAUUGCUUUAUUUUAAAUGAUCAAUUUGAUUGUUUGAACUAUAGAGAAGGGGUUUUAAACCCUUUCUUCUCUCCUUUUUCUACCAAUUUCACUCAAUCUUUUCAACUCUUUCUCACUUAUAUCUUUUUCUCAUUGUCAUGUUUUCACUCUCUUAAACUCAUCAUAACUAUAAUUCAUGGAUUAGAACAAAUGUGAGAGGCUAAUUUAGAAGGAUUACAAGAAGAAUAUUUUGAUCGAGAGGUAUAUAUUAUCAUUCUAGAUUUUUAUUUAUAUAUGAGAUGAUUAAGCCUAUUCUAUGUUUAUUUAUACAAUUUGAUGGUGAUGUAUCUAGAGGAGCAAUCUUUUACACUUGUCAUCUAGAUUCAGGCUCGAUAAUGUACUAGUUAAAUUUACACUAUGCCAUAAUGGGGGUUGAGGAGGAGGAUGCGACAUGAUGACAUUUACUGAUGAGAGCUUCUUUCAUAUUCUUAAUAGUGGAGAAUCUCUCGUUGACUUGAGUUUAAAAUGUCAACAAUAAAGACUCCGCUAAUAUCAAGUUAUCUCUAAUAACAUCAAAAUCUCACUUCAAUAAUAUGUAAAAAUCCAACCCAAGACAAUCGAAUAUAAGAAAUGAGAUUGGAAGGAGUUUGACUUCAAAAUCUCUAUAGAAAUGAUGUUAGAUUUAAUACUAAACUAGAUAGUAAUUGUAACACCCCAAUUGGAAACAAUGUGGCAACAAUCAUUGGCAAGGGCUUCUUUCAUAUUCUUAAGGUGGAGAACCUCCUAUUAAAUCAAGUAAGAUUCAUUGUACCAUGAUAUACCAUCUGAGACAAAUGAUACAUAUCAUUCUGACAAGGGAUUAGCAUGCGAACAGUCAUAUAUCGGGUGGUACACAUUACAUGAUUCUAUAUCGGAUGAUACGUGAUCUAUACCGAUCGAUAACGAUUGAAAUUUAAUUAUUACUGACUUGUACCAAUCGGUAACAAUUGAAUUUUGAUCGUUAUCAAUCAAGAGCUAAGAUUGUCUUAUUUUAAAUGAUCAAUUUGACUAUUUAAACUAUAAAAAAUAUUUUUAUAUCCUUUCCUCUCCCCACUCUUUCAACCCAUUUCACUCGAUCUUUUUAACUUUUUCAAACUCUUCUCACUCACAUCUUUUAUCUCAUUCUUAUAUUUUUACUUUCUUAAACUCAACAAAGCUAUAAUUAUAUAUUAAAUCAAAUAUAAGAUGUUAAUUUGAGAGGAUUAAAAAGAAUAACACUUUAAUUAAGAUAUAUAUAUAUAUAUAUUUCUUUUUAAAUUUUAUAUUUAUAUAUAAGAUAAUUAAGCUUAUUCUAUGUGGUCAUGUCUAUACAAUUUUAUACUUGUCACCCAAGAUUUAGAUCAUGAAACUCGACGAAAUACUAGUUAAGUUUAUACACGGGAGGGAAGGGAAAAACAAUGGAUGAUUUUGAAUAGAUGUGAUAGAGUAUACAUGACAUAGAUAUAGAUCAAACCUCGUCAUAUUCACAACCAUUGUAUUGUGAAGAAUCUUAAGACUAAUAGUAGUAUGAUGAUAGUUGAUUAUUCUUUUCCAAGUAGUAGUAUGAUGAUCAAUCUUAUGAUAUAGAGCAACAGAUCAGUGACGAAAGUAAAAGUUUAAACAUUCAUAAUGCUCCAUACUAAUAUAUGUCAUAAUUGUCCUUGCCUCAGGAGCCAUCUACGUGGUUCAUGACGAUCAACUUAUAACCAUCACAACAUUGAUGUACCAUUAACAUACGAUGUAUGUAACACCCUACUUCUACCCUACAUGUAUAACUAAAAUAUGAUGUCAUAUUUUAAAUUUUUAUUACUGCUAUCAAUAGGAGAGUAGUGAAAGUAGAUAAUCUUAAAAUUAAAACAUGCUAACUUACUUAACAAAAUGAUAGGAUUUCUCCUAUAUAUAGUAUUUUGGACAUUUAUACAUAAUUAUAGCCUCUAACUAAGAGAAAAACAUAAAUAUAACAAGUCCAAAAUUUAUACACACAAAACACCUACAGAACAUCAUGCAUAUCUAAGCUGGUAUAGGCUUGCAUAUACUCACUGCUCUACCCAAUCACUUGGGUGGGGUAUUAGUAAUGAGUACACUCAAUAAGUAUAAGCCCUUAUAGCUUUAUUUAGGUAGCAUAUAUCAUAUCAUAUAUGUAAUAUUUUAAAAUUAUUGGCGUAAGACAUUUAAUGGAAAACUCCCUUAUCAUAUAACUUCUUUAGUAAACAUAAUCCCACAACAUAGCAUAUAUAAAAUAAAGAGUUAAAGUUCUACUUCAAAAUAAUUCAAAAUGCUUAUAUGCAAAUAUAGGAAGUAUAAUAAAUUCAUUGACUUCUAUGCCCUACAUCAUAAUAUAUAUUUGCAUUCCCAUAUCAUAUGUUAUUAUAAUAUAUACGUGCACUCUCACACUACACGUCAUAAUAUUUACAUACACUCCCACAUUAUACAUCAUAGCAUAUACGUGCAUUACAUAUCAUAAUAUAUUCGUGUACUCACGUACCAUACAUCAUAGAAAAUAUAUACACUCUCAUACCAUAUGUCAUCAUAUAUGUAUACGUAUAUGAUAUUUUUAUCAUAAUUCAUAUAUUUUUAGACUUACAAAAUAUAUACAUUCAUAUUUAACUAAUGCUUUGCUCAUGACAAUCCUAUCAUUCGAAAUAUAAUUUUUAAAUUGUAUUAUACAUAUGACACCAUUAUUUUAUAGUAAAUUAAACUUAUACUUAAUUAAACUUAAAAAUAAAGAUAUUAAUAAAAAAUCAAGUUCUUUAAUAGUCGAAUGUAUUAGGGAGUGAUACUCCUUGGAGCAAAAGGUCAUGAGAUGUUUUAAUUAAUAAUCCUACCUCUUGAAUUAUUGAUUUAUAAUAAUUUAUAAUAAUAAUUCAUAAAAAAAAAAUUGAUAAAAAUCUCUUAUAAAAUAAAUUAUACUCAUCCUAAUAAUAUAUGAAGUUAUUCCUUCUCCAUGGUAGCUAAAAUUCAAAUUGAAUUAGUGUCGAAAGAUUAGAGAUCCAUGGCAAAGUAUGAUGUCGUAAUUACAUAUUAAUUGCGUCAUACAAAAAGGUGAAACAUCGUUUGUGCGUUCUUAUAUUUGCUUCCAUGUAAAAUGCUUUAAUUACAUUAAAUUAUAUGUGACAUUGACACAUAAACACACAGUUUUUAUUUAUUUUAAGAAAAAGAUAAAGUACAAAGUGACAAGUAAUUAUAUGCGACAUUGGCACAUAAACACACAACAGAGAGAGAGAGAGAGAGAGAGAGAGAGAGAGAGGAUAUAUAUAUAUAUAUAUAUANNNNNNNNNNNNNNNNNNNNGAGAGAGAGAGAGAGAGAGAGAGAGAGAGAGAGAGGAUAUAUAUAUAUAUAUAUAUAUAUAAGGCGGAGAUUCUUCGUGUCAUGUAUUAAGCUUCGGUGACAUCUCGAAUCAUGCGAUGGCACUGUGAUGGAGGUCGUUGUAGUAGACGACGUAGACGUCGUAGGCGACGACGAGCUUCGCGACAGAGGACGUCACCGUCUCGGUCACCAGCUUCCCCCAUGCGUACUGGAACACCCCCGUCCCUCCCACGAUGGCCCGCUCCGAGUUCCCGGACGCGUCCAGUCUCCCGAUCACCGUGAGAGUGCUGUUGACGAACUUCCCCGCCGUGAACACCAGCACCAGCGGUACCAGCAUCACCUCCUCCUGCAUUGAUACGUGGAAGCCCGCGCCCUGCACCCUUCCGAGGAAGGUGGAGCUUUCGUCGGGGCCGACCCUCAGCACCGUGUCGUAGAUCUCGAUGUUCCCGAAGGUGUAGGGGAGGCUCAUGUUCACCACGGUGACGGUGGUGUUGUCGGGACCGAUAAAGGUCUCGUGGAAGUAGACGCGGAAGUGGAUUCUCUUCUGGAUGCCGAGUUCGAACUCGGAGGUGACCGGGAAGGCCGUGGCAGCAGCCAGGAGGAGGAAGAAGACGAGGAGGUGGUGGAAAAGAGAGGAGCUGUGUGGGGACGACGCCAUGACUAGGGUGGUGGAUGGACAAGGAACGUGAAGUGAGAAGUGAGAUGAGCACAACAAUAAGAGGGAAAGUGUCUUUAUAGAGCAUUGGCUUAUGGCUCUGUCAUCAUCAUACAUAUCAUAUUUAUCACAGGUAAGUAUGAUGUACACAUCAUCAUAUUAAUAUUUAAGAGAUUAAAAUUAAAUAAUAUUUUGAAUCCUUAAUAUUCGAUAAAUAAGUCUUUUAGAUGUAAGAAUAUCUCAAAUAAAUUUUUGAAUAAUCAACCUUUGAUAAGUGGAUCAUCAUUAUAUUUAUACACGGAAAUGAAUCAUUUACAAUUAAUUAGACUUUGACAUGUUAAACUCAAUCAAUUCAUGAACUAUUAUUGAAAAUAUUUAUGGGUAUACGAUUAGAAAAAUAAGCUUAUAUGACUAAGGAUUGAAAGAAUCAGAUAACAUAAUAGUUUAAGUCUUUGGAUUGAAUUAAUAUCUUACUUGAUAUAUAUAUUAACUCUGAUCAAUUUGAUUCAAACUCAUCAAUAGUCAUACAACUAUGACAUGAACAAGCUCUAAAUUGAAGAUUUAUCGGGCAAGCUUAUUGAACUCAUCCAAGAGUCUUAUGGGUGCUAUUCAAAACAAAAUUGGACAAUCGUAUCCUCAUUGAACUUGGAAGAAAUCGACUCGAGCCACGUUAAUUUAGAUAUUGAGGUUGGAUUCCCCUAGUUGGACAUCUUAGUCGAACCUCAAAGUCAAAAGUCAUUCCAUCUUCCAACUAGAGCAACAAGAAUUCGGAAAAAAAUAAUGAACCAAAUCGAGUCAAGUUCGCCGGAUCUAAGUUCGACCGAAUGGUGUAUUUGGAGUCCAUCCUUCCAAUGCGGGGGGAAGAAGAUGGCAUAAAAUGCAAUAAGCGAUGCAUAAUAACACCGGUGGACGCCCGGUGAUUACAGCAUACGGGCUCUCGAUCGGUAGGUGCCUCGCUCUCCGCCUUCAGCAAGCAACGUAGACGUACAGCGACGGCUCUCGGUCGGUAGGUGCCUCGAAUGCAGGUGUCGCUGGGGAGAUGGGUGAUGGAGGUCCAAAAGAUGAGGCCAUUGACAUGAUCGAUGUCGACUGUAAUCUUCUCAUCUUAGGACAAGAUCUUCCACCUCACGGUCUCGUACGUUGCAUGGUGGGUGAACGAGGAGGAAGCCAUCGAUCGGGCGUUGGUUUCCUCCGUACACUUAUCUUUUCUCCAUGCUGUAGCUGUCGGUGAUCACAUUUGUUGCAUGUGAUACACGUUUUCUUUUUUUUUUUUCACCUUUGUCGUGUACUCUAAUUCUGAAAGAACCAUCACUUUCUGAUCACUGUACAUGACUGUGAUUCUUGCACAGUCAUUGAUCUAUUUCUUCUAAUAAUUGACUAUGAUUCUUGCACAAGAGAACUCGUAAAGCAUGAAAAUUUGAUAUUAUUAAUUAAUUUUAAUAAUAAUUUUAUUUUUAAAGUAAACAAAUAAAUUAAAAGAAAAUGGAGAAUUGCAUAUUCUCCACUCUGUUGAUACCCCUAUUUACUUGAGAGGAGACCAAUGUAGUUUCUACAAUCAAGUCAAACUAGAGUCUAAAUCAAAACUAUGUAGACCUCCCUUCCAUCCCUCUAGCUAGGUCUCAUUCGGUGCCAACCGACACCAUCGAAACUUUAGCUCAGUUUGCUUAAAUGUUCAGCUAGUAAACAUACAAACAUAUCACUUUCCAUCAAUAUAAAAGUACAUAUAUAUAUUACAAUAAUAUGUGAUAUGAUAGUACACACAUAUGUUAUGAUAUAAGGCGUAGAAGAUCAUACAUUUUUUAGGCUUCCUACAUGUGCAUAUAAGUAUUUGAAUUAUUUCGAUAUAAAAUUUUACCAUCUUAUUGUAUAUAUAAUGUGUUGUAGGAUUAUUUAUACAUGCUAAAGAAUUUAUAGGAUGAUGUGUCUAUCAUUAAAUACUUUAUGUUAAGGAUUUUAAAAUAUUAUAUACAUGAAAUGAUGUGCUCACAUAAAUAAAACAAUAAAGACUUAUAUUUACUGAGUGAUUAAUCACCGUAGAUCAUAUUUUACAGAUAAAAAUAUUAGUAUCCCACUCAAGUGAUUGUAUAGGGAAGUAAGCACAUGUAAGCCCAUGCUAGCAUAGAUAUGAACGAUGAUUUUUCAACAUUUUAUGUAUAUAAAUUUUGGACAUAUUAUAUUUAUGUUUUUAUUUGGUUAAAUGAUAUAAUCAUGUAUUUAAAACAUUAUGGAUAGGGGAAACCCUAUUAUUUUGUUUAGUAAGUUAGCAUGUUUUAAUUUUAGGAUUGUCAACUUUCCAUUGUAGUCAUAUUGAUAUCAGUAAUUAAAAUUUAAAAUGUAACAUCCUAUAUUAAUUAUACAUGUAAGAUAUGGAAGAAACUAGAAGUAGAGUAUUACAUAUUCAAUGUUCUUGAUAUCGAAUCCAUCUAUGAUAGACUCGGUGAAAGGCUACAGUUACAUCCAAGUCAUCCUUUAAAGAAUCAAAAUAUAUAUUAACAAUUAUGAAAUGUGAAAGAUUUUUUAACUAAUAAAUUAACUAGAAAAAUUGAAUGAACGAAUGAAUGCCAUGUUUAUGGGAGGAAUAGGUACAUGUCAUUUUGUCAAGGCACGUGAUUUAUUUGGAAUUUAAUGUAACUUAUUCGCAUUAUGUUGAUUAUAGUUUGCGACAAAUGUAAAGAUUCCAUAUCAAAAAAUAAAUUCCGAUGUGCAUGUGUUAGAUCCCUUAUGAAACUUAAUUAUUUAUAGAGUGACUUUAACAUAUAGUAAAUAAGUUUGUAUCUAUGUAACUUGGAUGAUCAUAUUGUGAAAUAUACAAAUAAUAUCUCAAGUUAUUCCUUCUCCGUAGUAGCUAAAUUUCAACUACAUUUGGUGUCGAAAGAUUAGAGAUCCAUGACAAAGUAUGAUGUUGUAAUUACAUAUUAAUUGCGUGAUAGAAAAAGGUGAAACAUCGUUUGUGUGUUCUCAUAUUGCUUCCUUGUCCGAUAAUUUAAUCGCAUUAAAUUAUAAGCGACAUUGAUAGGUUGAUGUUCACAAAAACACACAACACUAACAUUAUGACCCAUCGACCAUUUUGUACCCACUUGAUUCAGUUUUUAGAAUUAUAUUUGUCUGUUUCCAAAAAAAAAUAUUUCUUUAUGUAGUACGAAGUAUUUUUUUGAAUUAUAGUAUAUUAUAGUGAAAUUUUUGACAGAUAAGCUCACUCUACAGGAGAUGAGAUUUUUACCUCAUAACACUCAUCGCUUAAUUCUUUCCAAGUAAUUAGAUCCUUUUCAUCAAAGCAUUCAUAAUCUUUUAUAUAUAUAUAUAUAUAUUAUUGAAUUGAGCUGUACAAUAUUAUUUUAGUUGAUCUUAUUAACAACUUUAUAGUGUGGUCCGAUGCAUAAUACUGCUACUAAUCCUAAAUAGGAGAAGAAUAAAUUUACUAUAGUCAUAUAUACCUACAGCUAUGAAAAAUAAAGCAUGUCACCGUACUGUGCUGCAAAAUAUCGAGGUUUGUAAAAGCUUUUCUUUCUCAAUAAUAAGAAGCUUUUCUUUAUUUUAAGAUAAAGAUGGAAGUACAAAGUGACACGUAGAAUAGCAUUUAUUUCAGCCUUUUGUUUUGUCCUUAUUCCAACCGCUGUCUUCAUGGAGUGACACCAUAGCCGGAGUUCUUUUUGUCGUGUAUUAAGCGUCGGUGACGGCAAGGUCUCGCAAUCAUGGGCUGGCACUGCGACCGACGUCGGUGUAGUAGAUGACGUAGACGUCGAAGGCGGCGACGAGGCCCUCGACGGAGGACGUCACCAGCUCGCUCGCCAGCUUUCCCCAUGCGUACUGGAACACCCCCGUUCCACCCACGAUGGCCCGCUCCGCUUUCCCGGACGCGUCCAGUCUACCGAUCGCCGUGAGUGUGCUGUCGGCGAACUCCCCCGCCGUGAACACCAGUACCAGCGGUAUCAGAGACGCCUCCUCCUGCUGCGACAUGUGGAAGCCCGCGCCCUGCGCCCUUCCGACGACCGUCGAGCUAGCGUCGGAGCCGACCCUCAGCACGGCGUCGAAGAUGUCGAUGUCCCCGAAGGUGUAGGGGAGGCUCAUGUUCACCACGGUGACGGUGGUGUUGUCGGGGCCGAGAAAGGUCUCGUGGAAGUAGACGCGGAAGUGGAUUCUCUUCUGGAUGCCGAGUUCGAACUCGGAGGUGACGGGGAAGGCCGUGGCAGCAGCGAAGAGGAGGAAGAAGACGAGGAGGUGGUGGAUAGGAGAGGAGCUGUGUGGGGACGAAGCCAUGACUGGGGUGGUGGAUGGACAAGGAACGUGUUAUACUUGGCAAAGAUUGACAAGUGAGAGGAGCACAAGGCUGGAGGAGGGAGAGCGUAUUUAUAGAGUAUUGGCUAUGUCAUCGUCGUGCAUAUAUCAUAUCUAUCAUAUUAGACGAUAUUUUAGACUCUCUUAAAAAGGUAAGUAUGUAAGCAUCAUCAUAAUAAUAUUUUAGAGAUUAACAUUAGAAAGGAUUUCAAAUCCUCAAUUCAAAGUUGAGUCUUUUAGAUGUAAGAAUACCUCAAACAAAAUUUUUGAAUCAUCAAACAAUAAGUGAAUUUUCAUCAUGUUCAAAGAUUAAAAUGAAUCAUAUACAAUUAAUGAGACUUAGCAUGAUAAAUUUAAGUAAUUAUUAUUGAAAAUAUUUAUGCAUGUGAGAUAAAAAAAGAUGAGCGAAAAGUAAUAUAUGACUAAAGAUUGAAGGAAUCAGAGUACAGAAAGUCGGUUUGACAAGUAACACCACGUUUAGCCUUCCUCUUGAACGCCGGUCUCGUUCCAAAAUCGCCGGACGGACCACUUCGCUCUCCGCCGACAACACGCAACGUGUAGCUUCGCUGGGAUACGGGUGAUGCAGGUCAAAGAAGAUGAAGCCAUCGACAUGAACGAUGUGGACUGUAAUCGUCUCCAUCCUCGUCUUCUCAUCUUAGGACUAUAUCUUCCACCACACCGAAUCAUUCGUUGUAUGGUAGGUGAACAAGGAGGAAAGCCAUCAUCCAUGGGACUGCUUUUGGUUGGUUAAUCCUCACACUAGCUUCUCUCGAUGCUGUACCUGAUGGUGAGGCUUCUUGUGCACGUUUUGUUUCCAAAAAAUCUGUCUAUUUUGUUGAGAAAAUAUUUUCAUCUUAAUCAGUAUAAAUAGGGGGAAAAUAGCUUCAAUGUAAAACAGUUUUUUCAAUAAUUCUUCUUGUCUUCUAUUCUUUCCAACAUGAUAUCAGAGCAAGUGAGAAGAGCGAGACUCCAUGGCCAUCGAAGCCUGUUAUUCACCACAUCUCUUACCUUUGUAGAGCAGAGAAGGGGGUGAACUCUUUUCCAUCGGACUCGCUUCCCUGUCGGACUCCCCUCUCCGUCCGCUGAUACCCCAGUCGCUGUCGUGACCACACCCGGCAUCGCAAUCAUGUGCGACCACAACAACGAGGGCCUGUUUUGGUGCGACUGGCUACUCGCCCUCGGCAGUGGAUCCCUCUCCAACCCUGUCCGCUCCUUCCCUCUUCUCCUCCAUGCGGCUUUCUUCUUCAUCGGCGUCGCCUGCACCGACCCUAAGCUCGGGUUAUCUACCGCCAUAUCAUCAUCUUCAUCAGGUUGUGAUCUAUAUCAAUCGCAGCCUGCUGCCUCGGUGUCAACUGUCGAUCCUUAGCUCCUACUAAGAGCUAAUCGCUACAGCUUCCUCCUACUGCAGCUUCCUCAUGUUGCAGCAUCGUUGUAGCUUCCUCCUCUGUUGCAGCAUCGUUGCGGCUUCCUCCUCUGUUGUAGUUUCUGCUGUAGCUUUCUCCUAUGCUGGAGCAUUGCUGCAACUACCUCCUUUGCUCCGACUUCCUCCUUUAUUACAUCUAUGCUGCAGCUACCUCUUCUACUAUAGCUUCCUCCUCUAUUGUAGCAUUACUACAGCAUCGCUGCAGCUUUCUCCUAUACUGUAGCUUCCUCCUCUUCUGUAGAAUCACUGCAGAUUCCUCCUCUGCUAUAGCAUCGUUGCAGCUACCUCCUCUUCUGCAUCUACCUCCUCUACUGUAGCAUGAUAGCAGAUAAGAUUUCUCUAACUAUAUGAGAAAAUCUAGAGUUGAGAGAAAUCCUCCCUCUUAAUCUGUAUAAAUAGGGAGAGAAUACCUUCAAUGUAAAAUAGUUUCUUCAAUAAUUCUUCUUGUCUUCUAUUCUUCCCAACAGAUAAAAAGGGAUGUGGACGAGGCCAUCAAAAGGAACACACGUCAUUUAUGAUUACUGCUCGCUGCUCUUUGUUACUCGCCGAUGUCCUCAUCCAUCAGUAUGAACUGGAUGAGAGAAUAAUAUUCAAAAUACUCAGUUAAUAUUUUUCUUACUAACAGGAGUUUCUAUAGCUCAUGAUUCAUAACUUUAUUUUUGUCCCUUGUAUAAGAGCUGAUUUAAGUUUCUGUAUAGUUUUAUCAAUCGUGUUUUUUAUGCUAGUUUUACUUAUGACGCUGAAUGGCUUAUCUUAAUUACUAAUUGAGCAUUCAUCUCAUUAAGCAUUUAAUUAGAUGACACAGGGCACAUGCUCACGGUCACUUAUGGCUCCUCUUGCCAUCCUUCACGUGCAUGAUAUAUAUAUAUAUAUAUAUNNNNNNNNNNNNNNNNNNNNNNNNNNNNNNNNNNNNNNNNNNNNNNNNNNNNNNNNNNNNNNNNNNNNNNNNNNNNNNNNNNNNNNNNNNNNNNNNNNNNNNNNNNNNNNNNNNNNNNNNNNNNNNNNNNNNNNNNNNNNNNNNNNNNNNNNNNNNNNNNNNNNNNNNNNNNNNNNNNNNNNNNNNNNNNNNNNNNNNNNNNNNNNNNNNNNNNNNNNNNNNNNNNNNNNNNNNNNNNNNNNNNNNNNNNNNNNNNNNNNNNNNNNNNNNNNNUUGGACGUCACCAGUUUGCUCACCAUGUUCCCCCACGCGAACUGGAACACCCCAGUCCCUCCCACGAUGGCCCGGUCCGCCUUCCCGGAGGUGUCCAUCCUCCCUAUCAACGUGAGCGUGCUGUCGCAGAAGUCCCCGGCCGUGAACACCAGCACCAGCGGUAUCAGCGACGACUCGUCCCGCUGCGACGCGUGGAAGCUCACGCCCUGCGCCCUCCCGACUUCAGUCGAACGCUUGGAGGGGCCGGUCCUCAGCACGGCGUCGAAGAUGUCGACGUCCCCGAAGGUGUUGGGGAGGCUCAUGUUCACCACGGUGACGGUGGUGUUGUCGGGGCCGAGAAAGGUCUCGUGGAAGUAGACGCGGAAGUGGAUUCUGCUCUGCCGGCCGAGUUCGAACUCGGAGGUUACCGGGAAGGCUGUGGCAGCAGCCAGGAGGAGGAAGAAGACAAGGAGGAAGUAGAGAUGAGAGGAGCUGUGUGGGGAUGAAGCCAUGGCUAGGAUGACCGAAGGAUCGAAUUGAGGUGGGUACAACGCUGGAUCAGGAACAUGUAUUUAUAGAGUAAUGUCUGUGCCAUGCGUCGUCAACAAAAGCCAACUUCCAACCAAAUCUCAUUAUCAUGUCUACAUAAAAAACCCAAACGAAUAUUACUCUUGCAGGCGAAGGUCUCAGCGUAGGGAAGAAGAUAGCAUAUGGUAACACGAUGUACACACCAUAUAGUCUUCUCCAUAUAUAUAUAUAUAUAUAUAUAUAUAUAUAUAUGAUGUCGAGCAAUGGAGAUGGGUAACUGAGAGAUGGAGGGAUGAUAGUUGCAAGCAAUGGGCGAUGAGGAUAGUGUUGCGUCUUCUGCAAGUGCCAACUGGCCACCUGUAGCUCGUCAAUUUGCUUGUUAAUUAACGAACCACAUUGGCAACGCUAUCUUUCUUAAUGUGUUUCACCACAGAUGUACGCGGUUGGCUGAUGGCUGUCGCUCCCGUUUGUUCGCAUCUUCGGUUGUUGACAUGUGGAAAUGAAGUGUCGGUUCCCAUGCGUGAUCGGUACCUCACCACUCCACUUCAAGUCGCGACGUAAUUAAUGACCGACGGUGCGAUGCAAAACCUUCACUCGCCAAUCAAGUCAUUCGUGACUCAUGUGGGGCCAUUAACCAUCUUUUUGCUCUACAGUAAUCAAAGAAAAGCUCACAUGAUGUGUUCUCAUAUCAGCAUACAAAUGAAUUUUAUGUGACUUUUAAUAUACAUACAUAUUCUCUCCUGUCAAAACAUAUCCUAAACUCAUGUUUAUUUUUACCAUUAUAUAUAUCAUCACGAGACCAAAAGACAAAAAGGCAUGGGAUAACAUAACGCAUGUCAAUGUUUCCAUGUGAAUCACGCCUACAGAAUCCUUCACCUACCGAAGGUGUGGUUGGUUGUCAAAGUUCAUCAUUAUUAUGUAAGGGACAUUUUUCUCAGCAUAUCGUCAAAUGCCAGCGCAUGACGUGUUACCUUUCAAAGUGCAUAGUUGACCCAUUCCGCGUGUAAUGUCUCCUACUUAGUUGUCCCUUCACGCAAUGCAUUUCUUUAUCAGUAUACGUAUACUUCACCUGUUCAUAGCAUCCAUAUUAAAGCUUAUGUAGGUGCAGCGAAAUUAGUUAAUCGUCUAUAAAUAGGAUAGAAAUGGAUAACAAGUCUUAUUAAAGCCAUUAAUUAAGAAUUUAGAAUAGAGAUAGUAUCAUAUUUGAUUUCACAUUGAUCAGAGACUUAGAGAAUCAAUACCUAAUACCUAAUAAAGAGUCAAAUACAAAUUUUCGUUUUUUGACAGACAACUUUUGGGAUCCACCUUAGGAAAGGAAAGAUCAUGUGGUCCCGCUUAACAAUUUAUGAUUCAAAAGAGCUCGUGAUUGAAUAGUUUGUGAAAAUAAGAAUAUUAUUUGGAUAAAAAUAAAUAGUAAAAAAAGGAUCAAAUGAUAUAUGGACACGUGGCAUAUUCACCGAUCUUUAAAGCAGCCGAUCGCACGAGUAGUAAGAACUACCAAAGCUCUCUCCACGAUGAGAAAGGGCAACGAAGGCGGGGGAGUGACGAUGUGAAAGAAUCAUAAAGACGAUUGUUAGCAACCCUUGUGGUCGAGGUGCCAGCGUGGUUCGAUCCAAUCCUAAAUGCGCUUGUCCACGUAGAUGCUCGAGUGAUGGAAGUGAGCAUUAUGUCGUGUUGAGUUUGAGCCUCGUCUAUCUCAAUAUAGUUUCUCUCUUGGUGAGUGGCCUGCUUAUUUAUCACCGGACACAGGUUAGGGUCGAGAGGAAGAUUUUUUGAUUUGACCCUUGCGAAAGUUAAAUUAGUGUUGGGUGAAGUAAGAGGGAGUUAAAUGCUCAAAGUUCUUCCCAUGAUGUCAAUUAUUGGGUUGACUUUUAUACAUGCGAACAAAGUUCUUCACUGCUUCAGUAUGAUAUUCGAUUUAUAGAUGAAAGGUUAUGUUUUUCUUCAGCUUCAUGUUGCUCAUGGUCCAAAGUGAACUUGCUAAAAGAAAAAACACUGUCAUGAUUAUGAUGGAAUAAUAUUUCAAACACUUAGAUUUUUAAUAUAAAAUUGUAUGUAUCUAAGAGCUGGUUGGAGAAUUGUAUAAGAUAUGUCUAUAGUUCAACGAGUUCUGAUAUUUUUGGAGUUUGUUGCAAUAGGAUUUUAUUCGUAAUAUUAAUAAACGAGAUCGAAUAAUUCUUUUUAUUUUAGCCUUAUUAUUUAUUCUGCAGACGUAAAGCAAGAUAAACAUUGUUAGCUCUUAUUUAAUUGCUGUAGCUUUCGUUAUCGUGUCUCGGAUCACGCGAUGGAAGUGAGACGGACGUCGUUAUGGUACAUGACGUAGACCACGAAGGCGACGACGAGUCCUGCGACAUCGGACGUCACCUGCUUGCUCACCACGUUCCCCGACGCGAACUGGAACACCCCCGUCCCUCCCACGAUGGCCUGGUCCGCCUUCCCGGACGCGUCCAUCCUUCCGAUCACCGUGAGCGUGCUGUCGCAGAAGUUUCCCGCCGUGAACACCAGCACCAGCGGUAUCAGCGACGACUCGUCCCGCUGCGACACGUGGAAGCUCACGCCCUGCGCCCUUCCGACUUCAGUCGACCACUUGGAGGGGCCGAUCCUCAGCACGGCGUCGAAGAUGUCGACGUCCCCGAAGGUGUAGGGGAGGCUCAUGUUCACCACGGUGACGGUGGUGUUGUCGGGCCCGAGAAAGGUCUCAUGGAAGUAGACGCGGAAGUGGAUUCUCUUCUGGAUGCCGAGUUCGAACUCGGAGGUGACGGGUAAGGCCGUGGCAGCCGCAAGGAGGGGGAAGAGGACGAGGAGUAAGUAGAGAUGAGAGGAGCUGUGUGGGGAUGAAGC